CUGCACGCAAGUGCGAUAAGGGGACCCCAAGUGCGAGGGCAUAUAGUCCUCGCUUUUCACGACUGUAAGGCGGUCGUGGAAUAAGAGCUGGGCAAGACCGGUGCCAGCCGCCGCGGUAAUACCGGCAGCUCAAGUGAUGACCGAUAUUAUUGGGCCUAAAGCGUCCGUAGCCGGCCACGAAGGUUCAUCGGGAAAUCCGCCAGCUCAACUGGCGGGCGUCCGGUGAAAACCACGUGGCUUGGGACCGGAAGGCUCGAGGGGUACGUCCGGGGUAGGAGUGAAAUCCCGUAAUCCUGGACGGACCACCGAUGGCGAAAGCACCUCGAGAAGACGGAUCCGACGGUGAGGGACGAAAGCUAGGGUCUCGAACCGGAUUAGAUACCCGGGUAGUCCUAGCUGUAAACGAUGCUCGCUAGGUGUGACACAGGCUACGAGCCUGUGUUGUGCCGUAGGGAAGCCGAGAAGCGAGCCGCCUGGGAAGUACGUCCGCAAG
rnacentral:rRNA from 1 species